UCACCAAGGCCACGAUGCAUAGCCGACCUGAGAGGGUGAUCGGCCACAUUGGGACUGAGACACGGCCCAAACUCCUACGGGAGGCAGCAGUAGGGAAUCUUCGGCAAUGGACGAAAGUCUGACCGAGCAACGCCGCGUGAGUGAAGAAGGUUUUCGGAUCGUAAAACUCUGUUGUUAGAGAAGAACAAGGAUGAGAGUAACUGUUCAUCCCUUGACGGUAUCUAACCAGAAAGCCACGGCUAACUACGUGCCAGCAGCCGCGGUAAUACGUAGGUGGCAAGCGUUGUCCGGAUUUAUUGGGCGUAAAGCGAGCGCAGGCGGUUUCUUAAGUCUGAUGUGAAAGCCCCCGGCUCAACCGGGGAGGGUCAUUGGAAACUGGGAGACUUGAGUGCAGAAGAGGAGAGUGGAAUUCCAUGUGUAGCGGUGAAAUGCGUAGAUAUAUGGAGGAACACCAGUGGCGAAGGCGGCUCUCUGGUCUGUAACUGACGCUGAGGCUCGAAAGCGUGGGGAGCAAACAGGAUUAGAUACCCUGGUAGUCCACGCCGUAAACGAUGAGUGCUAAGUGUUGGAGGGUUUCCGCCCUUCAGUGCUGCAGCUAACGCAUUAAGCACUCCGCCUGGGGAGUACGACCGCAAGGUUGAAACUCAAAGGAAUUGACGGGGGCCCGCACAAGCGGUGGAGCAUGUGGUUUAAUUCGAAGCAACGCGAAGAACCUUACCAGGUCUUGACAUCCUUUGACCACUCUAGAGAUAGAGCUUCCCCUUCGGGGGCAAAGUGACAGGUGGUGCAUGGUUGUCGUCAGCUCGUGUCGUGAGAUGUUGGGUUAAGUCCCGCAACGAGCGCAACCCUUAUUGUUAGUUGCCAUCAUUCAGUUGGGCACUCUAGCAAGACUGCCGGUGACAAACCGGAGGAAGGUGGGGAUGACGUCAAAUCAUCAUGCCCCUUAUGACCUGGGCUACACACGUGCUACAAUGGGAAGUACAACGAGUUGCGAAGUCGCGAGGCUAAGCUAAUCUCUUAAAGCUUCUCUCAGUUCGGAUUGCAGGCUGCAACUCGCCUGCAUGAAGCCGGAAUCGCUAGUAAUCGCGGAUCAGCACG
rnacentral:rRNA from 1 species